rnacentral:lncRNA from 1 species
AGACUGUCAAGCUUCCUAAGAACUUCACUUUGCUUGGUCCCGGCCCUGGUUACACUUGCGGUCCUGCCAAAAUCGUGCCCUCUACCGUUUUUCUCACAACUGACAAACGGCGAAAAACACAAGCUUUGAGUAAGCAAUCAAUCAAAAACCUUAACUUGUUCCAUCAUCGAAAUCUAAACAUCAAUUUCAAACUUAUGUUUCUGCAGUGACAUGGAAUGUUACCUGCACAUACUCACAGUUUUUAGCAAGAAAGCAUCCAAGCUGUUGUGUCUCCUUCUCUUCUUUCUACAACGACACCAUAACUCCUUGCCCGUCUUGUGCCUGUGGCUGCGAGAACAAAAAGAGCUGCGUCAAGUGAGUAACAAAUCAUUGAAAUCCAAACUCUUUCUUAGAUAUCCUCUGAAAAAAUAUCAAUAUGAAUGUUUUCUUGCAGGGCUGAUUCUAAGAUUCUAACCAAGAAAGGUCUCAACACACCAAAAAAGGACAACACUCCUUUGUUGCAAUGCACACAUCACAUGUGCCCUGUUAGAGUCCACUGGCACGUUAAAACUAACUACAAAGACUAUUGGCGAGUGAAGAUAGCAAUCACAAAUUUCAAUUACCGGAUGAAUCAUACACUCUGGACUUUAGCAAUUCAGCAUCCAAAUCUCAACAAUGUGACUCAAGUUUUCAGCUUUGACUACAAACCAGUCUCUCCUUACGGAUCCAUAAGUAAAUAAAUACCUCCCUCAACCACAACUAUUCAACUUCAAACCAACCAUUGAAUGACUAAUAACAUUCUUAAAUCUUUUUGAUACAGAUGAUACUGGAAUGUUCUAUGGAACGAAGUUUUACAAUGAUUUAUUAAUGGAAGCUGGACCUUCAGGGAAUGUGCAAUCAGAGGUUUUGCUACAGAAAGAUCAAAAGACUUUUACUUUCAAGCAAGGUUGGGCUUUUCCUAGAAAAGUUUACUUUAAUGGUGAUGAAUGUAUGUUACCUCCACCAGAUUCAUACCCUUUUCUACCAAACUCUGCACAAGGGAACUUUGCUUCGUUCUCACUCACCAUUCUUCUUCUCCUAUUCAUCUCAAUAUGGUGAUUUGAUCUGAUCCUUCUGGGUUUUAAAACACUGAACCAGAACUGUUUUUUGUAAACUCAUUGCAAAGAUUGUAAAAGAAAAAAAGGAGUUUUGUGAGAGGAAAUGAUUAGAGAUGUGCAAGGCUUUUUUACCUUGAUCACUGCCAUUGAUCAAUGACUCUGUACUUCUUGGCUUUUUG